rnacentral:rRNA from 1 species
GACGGGGGGUGCUAGCGUUGUUCGGAAUUACUGGGCGUAAAGGGCGCGUAGGCGGCCGCUUGCGUCGGAUGUGAAAGCCCGGGGCUCAACCCCGGAACGGCAUCCGAUACGGGGCGGCUCGAGGCCGAGAGAGGUGAGUGGAAUACCCAGUGUAGAGGUGAAAUUCGUAGAUAUUGGGUGGAACACCGGUGGCGAAAGCGGCUCACUGGCUCGGUUCUGACGCUGAGGCGCGAAAGCGUGGGGAGCAAACAGG